GACGAACCGUGCGAACGUUGUUCGGAAUCACUGGGCUUAAAGGGCGCGUAGGCGGGCUGCCAAGUCUGGGGUGAAAUCCCACGGCUCAACCGUGGAACUGCCUCGGAUACUGGCGGUCUCGAGGGAGGUAGGGGCAUGCGGAACUGUGGGUGGAGCGGUGGAAAUGCGUUGAUAUCCACAGGAACUCCGGUGGCGAAAGCGGCGUGCUGGACCUCUUCUGACGCUGAGGCGCGAAAGCUAGGGGAGCAAACGGG
rnacentral:rRNA from 1 species